rnacentral:rRNA from 1 species
UGGGGAAUUUUGGACAAUGGGCGAAAGCCUGAUCCAGCAAUGCCGCGUGUGUGAAGAAGGCCUUCGGGUUGUAAAGCACUUUUGUCCGGAAAGAAAUCCUUGGCUCUAAUACAGUCGGGGGAUGACGGUACCGGAAGAAUAAGCACCGGCUAACUACGUGCCAGCAGCCGCGGUAAUACGUAGGGUGCAAGCGUUAAUCGGAAUUACUGGGCGUAAAGCGUGCGCAGGCGGUUUGCUAAGACCGAUGUGAAAUCCCCGGGCUCAACCUGGGAACUGCAUUGGUGACUGGCAGGCUAGAGUAUGGCAGAGGGGGGUAGAAUUCCACGUGUAGCAGUGAAAUGCGUAGAGAUGUGGAGGAAUACCGAUGGCGAAGGCAGCCCCCUGGGCCAAUACUGACGCUCAUGCACGAAAGCGUGGGGAGCAAACAGGAUUAGAUACCCUGGUAGUCCACGCCCUAAACGAUGUCAACUAGUUGUUGGGGAUUCAUUUCCUUAGUAACGUAGCUAACGCGUGAAGUUGACCGCCUGGGGAGUACGGUCGGCAAGAUUAAAAACCUUAAAUGAAUUGACGGGGUCAUAGCUG